UACGUAGGGAGCAAGCGUUGUCCGGAAUCAUUGGGCGUAAAGCGCGCGUAGGCGGCUCGAUCAGUCUGUUGUGAAAGUCAAAGGCUCAACCUUUGAAUGCCGAUGGAAACUGGCGACCUAGAGUGCGGUAGAGGGUAGUGGAAUUCCCGGUGUAGCAGUGAAAUGCGUAGAGAUCGGGAGGAACAUCCGUGGCGAAGGCGACUACCUGGACCAGCACUGACACUGAGGCACGAAAGCGUGGGGAGCAAACAGG
rnacentral:rRNA from 1 species